AUUGCACGCUGGCGGCAGGCCUAACACAUGCAAGUCGAACGAGUGGCGGACGGGUGAGUAAUGUCUGGGAAACUGCCCGAUGGAGGGGGAUAACUACUGGAAACGGUAGCUAAUACCGCAUACCAUCGGAUGUGCCCAGAUGGGAUUGGCUAGUCGGUGGGGGACCGGCGCACCUAGGCGACGAUCCCUAGCUGGUCUGAGAGGAUGACCGGCCACACGGAAACUGAGACACGGUCCAGACUCCUACGGGAGGAAGAAGUGGGGAAUAUUGGACAAUGGGCGCAAGCCUGAUGCAGCCAUGCCGCGUGUAUGAAGAAGGCCUUCGGGUUGUAAAGUACUUUCAGCGAGGAGGCGUUACUCGCAGAAGAAGCACCGGCUAACUCCGUGCCAGCCGCCGCGGUAAUUC
rnacentral:rRNA from 1 species